CCUACGGGAGGCAGCAGUGGGGAAUAUUGCACAAUGGGCGCAAGCCUGAUGCAGCGACGCCGCGUGAGGGAUGACGGCCUUCGGGUUGUAAACCUCUUUCAGUAGGGAAGAAGCGAAAGUGACGGUACCUGCAGAAGAAGCGCCGGCUAACUACGUGCCAGCAGCCGCGGUAAUACGUAGGGCGCAAGCGUUAUCCGGAAUUAUUGGGCGUAAAGAGCUCGUAGGCGGUUUGUCGCGUCUGCCGUGAAAGUCCGGGGCUCAACUCCGGAUCUGCGGUGGGUACGGGCAGACUAGAGUGAUGUAGGGGAGACUGGAAUUCCUGGUGUAGCGGUGAAAUGCGCAGAUAUCAGGAGGAACACCGAUGGCGAAGGCAGGUCUCUGGGCAUUAACUGACGCUGAGGAGCGAAAGCAUGGGGAGCGAACAGGAUUAGAUACCCUGGUAGUCCAUGCCGUACACGUUGGGCACUAGGUGUGGGGGACAUUCCACGUUUUCCGCGCCGUAGCUAACGCAUUAAGUGCCCCGCCUGGGGAGUACGGCCGCAAGGCUAAAACUCAAAGGAAUUGACGGGGGCCCGCACAAGCGGCGGAGCAUGCGGAUUAAUUCGAUGCAACGCGAAGAACCUUACCAAGGCUUGACAUGAACCGGUAAGACCUGGAAACAGGUCCCCCGCUUGCGGUCGGUUUACAGGUGGUGCAUGGUUGUCGUCAGCUCGUGUCGUGAGAUGUUGGGUUAAGUCCCGCAACGAGCGCAACCCUCGUUCUAUGUUGCCAGCACGUGAUGGUGGGGACUCAUAGGAGACUGCCGGGGUCAACUCGGAGGAAGUGGGGGACGACGUCAAAUCAUCAUGCCCCUUAUGUCUUGGGCUUCACGCAUGCUACAUGGCCGGUACAAAGGGUUGCGAUACUGUGAGUUGGAGCUAAUCCAAAAGCGGUCUCAGUUCGGAUUGGGGUCUGCACUCGACCCCAUGAAGUCGGAGUCGCUAGUAAUCGCAAAUCAGCCACGCC
rnacentral:rRNA from 1 species